GAGUCGAAGAAAUACAUUAGGACACUAAGACCAUGAGUUUCCCAGAUAGGCGGAAAUCUACCAAACAGAGGAAGGUAACAGCCAUAUCCACUCUGAGCCCUGCACUAACUCAAAGUCCACUGCAAACAGGAAGAAUCUGAGCAAUAUCAAAGAUGGUUGCAGAGAAGGGGAAGAGAAGAACAGAAAACAAGACAAACUGACAGAAGAAAAUAUUUAGACUAUGGAAAAUGCCUGACUGUACUUGGGCUGCCUGUUGAAGCUCAAGUCUGCCUGAAAUAAA
rnacentral:lncRNA from 1 species